rnacentral:rRNA from 1 species
GACGAACGCUGGCGGCGUGCCUAGUACAUGCAAGUUGAGCGCUGAAGGUUGGUACUUGUACCCACUGGAUGAGCAGCGAACGGGUGAGUAACGCGUGGGGAAUCUGCCUUUGAGCGGGGGACAACAUUUGGAAACGAAUGCUAAUACCGCAUAAAAACUUUAAACACAAGUUUUAAGUUUGAAAGAUGCAAUUGCAUCACUCAAAGAUGAUCCCGCGUUGUAUUAGCUAGUUGGUGAGGUAAAGGCUCACCAAGGCGAUGAUACAUAGCCGACCUGAGAGGGUGAUCGGCCACAUUGGGACUGAGACACGGCCCAAACUCCUACGGGAGGCAGCAGUAGGGAAUCUUCGGCAAUGGACGAAAGUCUGACCGAGCAACGCCGCGUGAGUGAAGAAGGUUGUCGGAUCGUAAAACUCUGUUGGUAGAGAAGAACGUUGGUGAGAGUGGAAAGCUCAUCAAGUGACGGUAACUACCCAGAAAGGGACGGCUAACUACGUG